rnacentral:rRNA from 1 species
AGUGAACGCUGGCGGUAGGCCUAACACAUGCAAGUCGAACGGCAGCACAGUAAGAGCUUGCUCUUACGGGUGGCGAGUGGCGGACGGGUGAGGAAUACAUCGGAAUCUACUUUUUCGUGGGGGAUAACGUAGGGAAACUUACGCUAAUACCGCAUACGACCUACGGGUGAAAGCAGGGGAUCUUCGGACCUUGCGCGAUUGAAUGAGCCGAUGUCGGAUUAGCUAGUUGGCGGGGUAAAGGCCCACCAAGGCGACGAUCCGUAGCUGGUCUGAGAGGAUGAUCAGCCACACUGGAACUGAGAAACGGUCCAGACUCCUACGGGAGGAAGCAGUGGGGAAUAUUGGACAAGGGGGGCAAGCCUGAUCCAGCAAUACCGCGUGGGUGAAGAAGGACUUCGGGUUGUAGAGCCCUUUUGUUGGGAAAGAAAAGCAGCAGGUUAAUACCCCGCUGUUCUGACGGUACCCAAAGAAUAAGCACCGGCUAACUUCGUG